AGGGCAAUAGCUCAGUGAUAGAGCACGUGCUUAGCAUGCAGGAGGUCCUGGGUUCAAUCCCCGGUACCUCCA
rnacentral:tRNA from 1 species